rnacentral:rRNA from 1 species
CACGUAGGGCGCAAGCGUUGUCCGGAAUUAUUGGGCGUAAAGAGCUCGUAGGCGGUCUGUUACGUCUGCUGUGAAAACCCGGGGCUUAACCCCUGGCUUGCAGUGGAUACGGACAGACUAGAGGUAGGUAGGGGAGAAUGGAAUUCCCGGUGUAGCGGUGAAAUGCGCAGAUAUCGGGAGGAACACCGGUGGCGAAGGCGGUUCUCUGGGCCGAAACUGACGCUGAGGAGCGAAAGCGUGGGGAGCAAACAGG